UGGGGAAUAUUGGACAAUGGGCGCAAGCCUGAUCCAGCCAUGCCGCGUGUGUGAAGAAGGCCUUCGGGUUGUAAAGCACUUUUGUUGGGAAAGAAAAGCGGCCGGUUAAUACCCGGUCGUGUUGACGGUACCCAAAGAAUAAGCACCGGCUAACUUCGUGCCAGCAGCCGCGGUAAUACGAAGGGUGCAAGCGUUACUCGGAAUUACUGGGCGUAAAGCGUGCGUAGGUGGUUUGUUAAGUCAGAUGUGAAAGCCCCGGGCUCAACCUGGGAAUUGCAUUUGAUACUGGCGGACUAGAGUGCGGUAGAGGAGAGUGGAAUUCCCGGUGUAGCAGUGAAAUGCGUAGAGAUCGGGAGGAACAUCAGUUGCGAAGGCGGCUCUCUGGACCAGCACUGACACUGAGGCACGAAAGCGUGGGGAGCAAACAGG
rnacentral:rRNA from 1 species